AGUCGAACGAGAAAUCCUGAGCAAUCGGGAAAGUAAAGUGGCGAACGGGUGAGUAACGCGUGGGUAAUCUACCCUUAAAUUGGGGAUAACUCUUCGAAAGAGGAGUUAAUACCGAAUAAUACUCUGAUCCCAUUGGGGGUCGGAAUCAAAGAUGGCCUCUGCAUGCAAGCUAUCGUUUAAGGAUGGGCCCGCGUACCAUUAGCUUGUUGGUAGGGUAAUGGCCUACCAAGGCAACGAUGGUUAGCUGGUCUGAGAGGAUGGCCAGCCACACUGGAACUGAGACACGGUCCAGACUCCUACGGGAGGCAGCAGUGGGGAAUCUUGCGCAAUGGGGGAAACCCUGACGCAGCAACGCCGCGUGGGUGAUGAAGGCCUUCGGGUCGUAAAGCCCUGUCAGGUGGGAAGAAACAUGCUGAUGUGAAUACCAUCGGCACUUGACGGUACCACCGGAGGAAGCACCGGCUAACUCCGUGCCAGCAGCCGCGGUAAUACGGAGGGUGCAAGCGUUGUUCGGAAUUAUUGGGCGUAAAGCGCGUGUAGGCGGUCGGGUAAGUCAGAUGUGAAAGCCUUCCGCUCAACGGAAGAAGUGCAUUUGAAACUGCUCGUCUAGAGUACGGGAGAGGAGAGUGUAAUUCCCGGUGUAGAGGUGAAAUUCGUAGAUAUCGGGAGGAACACCAGUGGCGAAGGCGGCUCUCUGGUCCGAUACUGACGCUGAGACGCGAAAGCGUGGGGAGCA
rnacentral:rRNA from 1 species